AACGAACGUUGGCGGCGUGGAUUAGGCAUGCAAGUCGAGCGGGAUUCUAUUUUUUCAAUUCUUCGGAAGAGAAGUUUUAGAUGAGAGCGGCGCACGGGUGAGUAAUAUAUGGGCAAUUUGCCCCUUUGUUCGGAAUAGCCAUCGGAAACGGUGAGUAAUGCCGGAUGUGAUCGUCUACCGCAUGGUAGAUUGUUUAAAGGCGGGGAAUCUUCGGAUCCUGUCGCAAAGGGAUAAGCCCAUAGCCUAUCAGCUAGUUGGUGAGGUAAUGGCUCACCAAGGCUUACGGGUAGCCGGCCUGAGAGGGUGAUCGGCCACACUGGGACUGAGACACUGCCCAGACUCCUACGGGAGGCUGCAGUCGAGAAUCAUUGACAAUGCACGGAAGUGUGAUCAUGCGACGCCGCGUGGAGGAAGACGGCCUUUGGGUUGUAAACUCCUGUCAGCAGGGAAGAAGGGUAGCAUUACUAAUAUUAAUGUUAUUUGACGGUACCUGCAGAGGAAGUCACGGCUAACUCUGUGCCAGCAGCCGCGGUAAUACAGAGGUGGCGAACGUUGUUCGGAUUUACUGGGCGUAAAGGGUCCGCAGGCGGAUCAGUGUGUCAGAUGUGAAAGCCCACGGCUUAACCGUGGAAUUGCAUUUGAAACUGCUGGUCUAGAGUACUGGAGGGGAGAAGGGAACACUUGGUGUAGCGGUGAAAUGCGUAGAUAUCAAGUGGAACACCGGAGGCGAAGGCGCUUCUCUGGACAGAUACUGACGCUCAUGGACGAAAGCUAGGGUAGCGAAAGGGAUUAGAUACCCCUGUAGUCCUAGCCGUAAACGGUGUGCACUAGACGUGGGUGGAUUUACCCCCAUCCGUGUCUGAGCUAACGCAUUAAGUGCACCGCCUGGGGAGUACGGUCGCAAGAUUGAAACUCAAAGGAAUUGACGGGGACCCGCACAAGCGGUGGAGCAUGUGGCUUAAUUCGAUGCAACGCGAAGAACCUUACCUGGACUUGACAUAUAGCUGCAUAUGACUCGAAAGAGACAUAGCCUUCGAGGGUGCUAUACAGGUGCUGCAUGGCUGUCGUCAGCUCGUGCCGUGAGGUGUUGGGUUAAGUCCCGCAACGAGCGCAACCCCCAUUCUCUGUUGCCCCGGGUAACCGGGGCUCUCUGAGAAAACUGCCGGCGAAGAGCUGGAGGAAGGUGGGGAUGACGUCAAGUCCUCAUGGCCCUUAUGCCCAGGGCUACACACGUGCUACAAUGGUGGAUACAAAAGGAAGCCAACCCGCGAGGGGGAGCCAAUCCUCCAAAAUCCAUCCAAGUUGGGAUCGGAGUCUGCAACUCGACUCCGUGAACCUGGAAUCGCUAGUAAUUGUGGAUCAGCACGCCACGGUGAAUACGUUCCCGGGCCUUGUACACACCGCCCGUCACACCACGAAAGUCUGUUGUACCCGAAGUGGGUGAGCUAACUCGCAAGAGAGGCAGCCUCCGAAGGUAUGGCCGGUAAUUGGGGUG
rnacentral:rRNA from 1 species